rnacentral:rRNA from 1 species
CUGGCCGUAAACGAUGAAUGCUAGGUGUGGGUGUAGAGAUACAUCCGUGCCGGAGUUAACGCGAUAAGCAUUCCGCCUGGGGAGUACGGUCGCAAGAUUGAAACUCAAAGGAAUUGACGGGGGCCCGCACAAGCGGUGGAGCACGUGGUUUAAUUCGAUGCAAACCGAAGAACCUUACCUGGGUUUGACAUGUACGUGGUACGGAUCUGAAAGGUGAAGGACCUUUUCUUCGGAGAAGGAGCGUACACAGGUGC